UUGACAGAUUGUCCUAUGUAGGAUCUUUUUCUGAGUCGUGUGCACAGACUGAAAGCCUCACUGCAGCUUUGUCAGGAAAGGAGUGAGUCAACUGGAUAAGGAAGAAACCUUUCUGAUUUAGCCUUCAUAUAAGUAGCAUCCUACAGUCUUUGAAGAAAUGCAGGAUUCCCUAGCACUGAAGAAAAAUAGCAAAAUUAUUUACCUGCACCUCUGUGAAGUUUGUGGGACAUUGAAUGAGAUGAGAAAGUAAAAUUGCACUUCUCUAAUUAAGCAAAUAUGGACAUAUGACAUCAGAUAUACUUGUCCUGCUCAAGGAAAUCUGAAGAUAAAACUCUUUUUUUUUUUUUUGAGUUAGAUUUUGUGGAAAAUCUUCAGGAAAGAGUUGAGCUCCUAAAAUCACAUGGAACAAUGGUAAACUCAUGCCUUAAGCCCCAGCUCACACACAUACCCAAAUAAUUGGAAAUAAUUUUAAGCUGAUAAGACUACUUAUGUGCUCAGUCCAUUAAUGGGCUCUGAGCAUUAAUGUUUGUAAUUUCUUGAAAACUAAUGUUGUUGAACAAAGAGAUUAAUAAACUUAAGAAAAUCAGCUUG